rnacentral:rRNA from 1 species
CGCGGCCUAUCAGCUUGUUGGUGAGGUAACGGCUCACCAAGGCAUCGACGGGUAGCUGGUCUGAGAGGACGAUCAGCCACACUGGGACUGAGACACGGCCCAGACUCCUACGGGAGGCAGCAGUAGGGAAUCUUGCGCAAUGGGCGAAAGCCUGACGCAGCAACGCCGCGUGGGGGAUGAAUGCCUUCGGGUUGUAAACCCCUUUCAGCAGGGACGAAAAUGACGGUACCUGCAGAAGAAGCUCCGGCCAACUACGUGCCAGCAGCCGCGGUAAUACGUAGGGAGCGAGCGUUGUCCGGAAUUAUUGGGCGUAAAGAGCUCGUAGGCGGUUCAGUAAGUCGGGUGUGAAAACUCAAGGCUCAACCUUGAGACGCCACUCGAUACUGCUGUGACUAGAGUGCGGUAGGGGAGCGGGGAAUUCCUAGUGUAGCGGUGAAAUGCGCAGAUAUUAGGAGGAACACCAGUGGCGAAGGCGCCGCUCUGGGCCGUAACUGACGCUGAGGAGCGAAAGCGUGGGUAGCAAACAGGAUUAGAUACCCUGGUAGUCCACGCCGUAAACGUUGGGCACUAGGUGUGGGUCUCAACCAACGAGAUCCGCGCCGUCGCUAACGCAUUAAGUGCCCCGCCUGGGGAGUACGG